UUCUUUUCUCUCGUUCACUCAUAUCACGAUGAUCAGUAAUCACUGGUGAUCCUUCUGAGUCUAUGGAGAUUGGAGUGUGGCCAUGUCUUCUGGGGUUACGCCGAUUCAGUUUCACAAGGGGACAGCUACACCCCAAUCGGCCAUGGAUUCUGUAAGGAUCAGUGGCGCUGAUGAGGGAUCUGAACGCCAACAGAGGUUGCCGUAAUUGUGAUAUGAGAUAGCGAGGGGCAAAAAGGA
rnacentral:pre_miRNA from 1 species